AUGAUGGCCAUGAUGUCACUCCCCUCCUCGUUCCUUUUGACAGUUGUGGUGGCGGCGCGGAGGGCCACAGAGUCGAGCAAGACCAUGACAUGCCACGGGAUGAGCUUCCCCUUCGUUGUGUUCAUGUGCCACGCGGUGAACCCUACCAGGACGUACGAGGUGACGCUCGAGAGCGAGGACCUCACGUCGAGGAUGGUGCUGCUUGCCGUGUGCCACCUCGACACGUCUGAGUUCGACCCCAUGAAGAUGCCUGGACACGCCAAGCCAGGGGAUGCUCCGGGUUGCCACUUCAUCCCCAGGGACAGCGUCCUCUGGGCUCCGGUUGCACCCGCCGCCGCCACCGCUGCUUAA
rnacentral:rRNA from 1 species